rnacentral:rRNA from 1 species
UGAAUACGAGGCACUAAGGUGCUGAAGUAGUGUAUGUCAUACUUCCAAGAAAAGCUUGCACUAUCGUAAGAUAAAAAUGCCUGUACCAUAACCGACACAGGUGGGUAGGUAGAGUAUACUAAGGGGCGCGAGAUAACUCUCUCUAAGGAACUCGGCAAAAUAACUCCGUAACUUCGGGAGAAGGAGUGCCUUAUUCUAUAAGGUUGCAAUAACAAGAUCCAAGCAACUGUUUAUCAAAAACACAGGUCUCCGCUAAGUCGUAAGACGAUGUAUGGGGGCUGACGCCUGCCCAGUGCCAGAAGGUUAAAGAAGUCGGUUAGCAAUUGCGAAGCUGGUAACUGAAGCCCUGGUGAACGGCGGCCGUAACAAUAACGGUCCUAAGGUAGCGAAAUUCCUUGUCGGGUAAGUUCCGACCCGCACGAAAGGCGUAAUGAUUUGGAUACUGUCUCGGAGAGGGACUCGGUGAAAUAGACUUGUCUGUGAAGAUGCGGACUACCUGCACCAGGACAGAAAGACCCUAUGAAGCUUUACUGUAACUUGAAAUUGAAAUUGGACUUUAUUCGCGCAGUAUAGGUGGGAGGCGUUGAUUAUAAUCUUGUGGGAUUAUUGGAGCCAUUAGUGAGAUACCACUCUUGUAAUGUUAGAUUUCUAACUUUGAAUCAUGAUCUGGUCAAAGAACAGUUUCAGGCGGGCAGUUUGACUGGGGCGGUCGCCUCCUAAAUGGUAACGGAGGCGUACAAAGGUUUCCUCUGAACGGGUAGAAAUCGUAUCUAGAGUGUAAAGGCAUAAGGAAGCUUGACUGUGAGACCUACAAGUCGAGCAGGGACGAAAGUCGUCUUAGUGAUCUGACGGUACUGAGUGGAAAGGCCGUUACUCAACGGAUAAAAGUUACUCUAGGAUAACAGGCUGAUCUCCCCCAAGAGUUCACAUCGACGGGGAGGUUUGGCACCUCGAUGUCGGCUCAUCGCAUCCUGGGGCGGUAGUACGUCCCAAGGGUUGGGCUGUUCGCCCAUGAAAGCGGUACGCGAGCUGGGUUCAGAACGUCGUGAGACAGUUCGGUCCAUAUCCGGUGUAGGCGUUAGAAUAUUGAGAGGAGCCUUCUUUAGUACGAGAGGACCGAGAAGGACAUACCUCUGGUGUACCAGUUAUCGUGCCAACGGUAAACGCUGGGUAGCUAUGUAUGGAGUGGAUAACCGCUGAAAGCAUCUAAGUGGGAAGCCCACCUCAAGAUAAGUAUUCUCAU